rnacentral:rRNA from 1 species
AAGUCGUAACAAGGUUUCCGUAGGUGAACCUGCGGAAGGAUCAAUAACGAGAUCUGGGUUCCAUCCGAUUUUUCGAAAUUGGACCAAAUGGGCCCGAACUCCCAACCCUUUGAUAACCAUCCUUUGUUGCCUCGGUGGAUCGUCAAGUAUGACCGUCGGGAAAGCCUUCCCUUCGAGUAUCCGCCGAUGGGUCUUUUAAAAAUUCUUUUUAAAUAAGUAGUAUAACAACGCUAAAUCGUUAUUAUAAAUUAAAACAAAAACUUUCAACAACGGAUCUCUUGGUUCUGGCAUCGAUGAAGAACGCAGCGAAAUGCGAUAAGUAAUGUGAAUUGCAGAAUUUAGUGAAUCAUCGAAUCUUUGAACGCACAUUGCGCCCUCCGGUAGCCCGGGGGGCAUGCCUGUCCGAGCGUCAUUUUAGACCAUCAAGCAAAGCUUGGUGUUGGGCUCCUUCGCCCCUCUUUUUAGGGGGCGGGCCCUAAAUCAGUCGGCGACACGGUCGAGCCCCAAGCGUAGUAGAUACUCUCCCCGCUUUAGGUGGCCAUCGACACGCGUCUGCCACUAGACGCUUCGGCAAACAUUUUCGAGGUUGACCUCGGAUCAGGCAAGGGUACCCGCUGAACUUAA